AGAAUGAACGUUGGCGGCGUGGAUUAGGCAUGCAAGUCGAACGAAUCCCAUCCGGGUAACUGGGUGGGGGAAGUGGCGAAAGGGGCAGUAAUGCAUGGGUAACUUGCCCCGGAGUUCGGGAUAGCCUUCCUAACGGAUGGGUAAUACCGAAUGCCGUGCCUUGGGGGCAUCCUCGAGGCACGAAAGUUCCGACGCUCCGGGAGAGGUCCAUGUGGUAUUAGCUAGUUGGUGAGGUAACGGCUCACCAAGGCCAAGAUGCCUAGCAGGUGUGAGAGCACGACCUGCGUCACUGGCACUGGGACACUGGCCAGACUCCUACGGGAGGCUGCAGUCGAGGAUCUUCGGCAAUGGGCGAAAGCCUGACCGAGCGACGCCGCGUGUGCGAUGAAGGCCUUCGGGUUGUAAGCACUGUCGAGGGAAGAAAGCCGCAAGGUUUGAUCGAUCUCUGGAGGAAGCUCGGGCUAAGUUCGCGCCAGCAGCCGCGGU
rnacentral:rRNA from 1 species